UACGGAGGGGGCGAGCGUUAUUCGGAAUUAUUGGGCGUAAAGGGCGCGUAGGCGGCUCUGCAAGUCAAAGGUGAAAUCCCUCGGCUCAACUGAGGAACUGCCUUUGAAACUGCAGGGCUUGAGGCCGGGAGGGGGUAGCGGAAUUCCCAAUGUAGCGGUGAAAUGCGUAGAUAUUGGGAGGAACACCAGUGGCGAAGGCGGCUGCCUGGACCGGUUCUGACGCUGAGGCGCGAAAGCGUGGGUAGCAAACAGG
rnacentral:rRNA from 1 species